rnacentral:rRNA from 1 species
UUACCAUGCAGUCGAACGCUGAAGCCCCAGCUUGCUGGGGUGGAUGAGUGGCGAACGGGUGAGUAACACGUGAGUAACCUUCCCUUGACUCUGGGAUAAGCCUGGGAAACCGGGUCUAAUACCGGAUACGACCGGUCACCGCAUGGUGGUUGGUGGAAAGAUUUAUCGGUCUUGGAUGGACUCGCGGCCUAUCAGCUGGUUGGUGGGGUAAUGGCCUACCAAGGCGACGACGGGUAGCCGGCCUGAGAGGGUGACCGGCCACACUGGGACUGAGACACGGCCCAGACUCCUACGGGAGGCAGCAGUGGGGAAUAUUGCACAAUGGGCGCAAGCCUGAUGCAGCGACGCCGCGUGAGGGAUGACGGCCUUCGGGUUGUAAACCUCUUUCAGUAGGGAAGAAGCGAAAGUGACGGUACCUGCAGAAGAAGCGCCGGCUAACUACGUGCCAGCAGCCGCGGUAAUACGUAGGGCGCGAGCGUUAUCCGGAAUUAUUGGGCGUAAAGAGCUCGUAGGCGGUUUGUCGCGUCUGCCGUGAAAGUCCGGGGCUUAACCCCGGAUCUGCGGUGGGUACGGGCAGACUGGAGUGCAGUAGGGGAGACUGGAAUUCCUGGUGUAGCGGUGAAAUGCGCAGAUAUCAGGAGGAACACCGAUGGCGAAGGCAGGUCUCUGGGCUGUUACUGACGCUGAGGAGCGAAAGCAUGGGGAGCGAACAGGAUUAGAUACCCUGGUAGUCCAUGCCGUAAACGUUGGGCACUAGGUGUGGGGGCCAUUCCACGGUUUCCGCGCCGCAGCUAACGCAUUAAGUGCCCCGCCUGGGGAGUACGGCCGCAAGGCUAAAACUCAAAGGAAUUGACGGGGGCCCGCACAAGCGGCGGAGCAUGCGGAUUAAUUCGAUGCAACGCGAAGAACCUUACCAAGGCUUGACAUGUUCCCGACCGCCACAGAGAUGUGGUUUCCCCUUUGGGGCGGGUUCACAGGUGGUGCAUGGUUGUCGUCAGCUCGUGUCGUGAGAUGUUGGGUUAAGUCCCGCAACGAGCGCAACCCUCGUUCCAUGUUGCCAGCGGGUU